UUGACACUCGAUCAUAUUAUGAUCUCUAGCAACAUCUCUCUCUCUCAAACCUUGACACUAACACAAGCCAAGACUCACACUUACUCUAGCCACAGCACUAACCCUGGCCGAGACCCAACCCCUGCAGUCUCCACCUCUUGGGUUGCUUAGAAAUGAUGGGCCGUCGUGUUUACUUGUGACUCUCACUUUACAGGAUACCCAGGUCAACUUCACCGUGCACGGCUUCUUCAAAGAGACCAAGAAUUGCCAAGAGUCUGUGAAGAUGUUUUGGCGGGUGGUGCAAUUGGUGCCAACCAUGGACGGCAGGCCGUCUGUCGCGAGUGAGCGGAUGUU